rnacentral:misc_RNA from 1 species
GCCGUACUAUUUUUUUACUGGAACAGCCUGUAAAUUCAGCAGAAAAUGGCCUCAAUACUCACUAAAUUGAAAUUAGAAGUGUUAGAUUAUAAAUUUUAGGAAUGGUGUCGUAAAAACCUAAGUUGAAGUUAAUGAGAUUUAGAUUGACGGUUCUGUACUCAUCUCUAAGAUUGUUAGUUCUCGAGUUUCAGCCCAGUCGGAGCCGAAGGAUGCAAAUAACAUGCAUAAUGGCUACCCUAGCUAUGGGGCAGUAAUAAGCAAUUGUUUUCCAUUCAACUGCUCUGUUAGAAAAUAACAGUUUGCAACGGCAUAACACUUACAAGAAAAGCACUGAGGAAUUGGGAUCUUUGGGGUUUAUACGAAUGCCAACCACCGCUAGAACAUGUAACAAAAAGAUUGGCUACUGGUUCCCCAUAUUGUAAAUCUAGAAUGCACAAGCUGCGUCCAUGUAUACGGCACAAGCUGCGUCCAUGUAUACGGCACAAGCUGCGUCCAUGUAUACG